rnacentral:rRNA from 1 species
CAGUCGCCGCGGGAAUACAGAGGGUGCGAGCGUUAAUCGGAUUUACUGGGCGUAAAGCUUGCGUAGGCGGCUUCUUAAGUCGGAUGUGAAAUCCCUGAGCUUAACUUAGGAAUUGCAUUCGAUACUGGGAAGCUAGAGUAUGGGAGAGGAUGGUAGAAUUCCAGGUGUAGCGGUGAAAUGCGUAGAGAUCUGGAGGAAUACCGAUGGCGAAGGCAGCCAUCUGGCCUAAUACUGACGCUGAGGUACGAAAGCAUGGGGAGCAAACAGGAUUAGAUACCCCAGUAGUCCCUGUCUCUUAUAC